GCGCUCGUAGCUCAGUAGGAUAGAGCAACGGUUUCCUAAACCGUGUGUCGGGGGUUCGACUCCCUUCGGGCGCACCA
rnacentral:tRNA from 1 species